GUGGAUGAGGCAUGCAAGUCGAACGAACUAGUUUACUAGUUAGUGGCGUAAGGGUUAGGAAUGUAUGGAUAACCUGCCUUUAACCUGGGAAUAACGGCUGGAAACGGCCGCUAAUACCGAAUGCGGCGAUUUUUAGGCAUCUAAAGAUCGUCAAAGUGGGGGAUCUGCUUGCAGACCUUGCGGUUAAAGAAGGGUCCAUAAGAUAUCAGCUAGUUGGUGUGGUAAAAGCGCACCAAGGCUAAGACGUCUAGGCGGAUUGAGAGAUUG
rnacentral:rRNA from 1 species